UCCGAGUUGACCCCGGCAGUCUCCUGCGAGUCCCCGCCAUUACGCGCUGGCAACACAGGACAAGGGUUGCGCUCGUUGCGGGACUUAACCCAACAUCUCACGACACGAGCUGACGACAGCCAUGCACCACCUGUAUACCGACCACAAGGGGGGCCGUAUCUCUACGGCUUUCCGGUAUAUGUCAAACCCAGGUAAGGUGGGGAUGACGUGCCGCAACUAACCA
rnacentral:misc_RNA from 1 species